AAGGGUACAGCUCAGUGGUGGAGUGAGUGCUUAGCAUGCACGAGGUCCUGGGUUCAAUCCCCAGUACCCCCG
rfam:Camelus ferus unplaced genomic scaffold scaffold902, whole genome shotgun sequence.